rnacentral:rRNA from 1 species
UGUAGCAAUACAUGGGCGGCGACCGGCAAACGGGUGCGGAACACGUACACAACCUUCCUUUAAGUGGGGAAUAGCCCGGGGAAACCCGGAUUAAUACCCCGUAACAUUAUGAAGUGGCAUCGCUUUAUAAUUAUAGCUCCGGCGCUUAAUGAUGGGUGUGCGGCUGAUUAGAUAGUUGGCGGGGUAACGGCCCACCAAGUCUGCGAUCAGUAACUGGUGUGAGAGCACGACCAGUCACACGGGCACUGAGACACGGGCCCGACUCCUACGGGAGGCAGCAGUAAGGAAUAUUGGUCAAUGGACGCAAGUCUGAACCAGCCAUGCCGCGUGGAGGAUGAAGGUCCUCUGGAUUGUAAACUUCUUUUAUCUGGGACGAAAAAGGAUCUUUCUAGAUCAACUGACGGUACCAGAUGAAUAAGCACCGGCUAACUCCGUGCCAGCAGCCGCGGUAAUACGGAGGGUGCAAGCGUUAUCCGGAUUCACUGGGUUUAAAGGGUGCGUAGGUGGGCAGGUAAGUCAGUGGUGAAAUCUCUGGGCUUAACCCGGAAACUGCCAUUGAUACUAUUUGUCUUGAAUAUCGUGGAGGUCAGCGGAAUAUGUCAUGUAGCGGUGAAAUGCUUAGAUAUGACAUAGAACACCAAUUGCGAAGGCAGCUGGCUACACGAAUAUUGACACUGAUGCAUGAAAGCGUGGGGAUCAAACAGGAUUAGAUACCCUGGUAGUCCACGCCCUAAACGAUGGAUACUCGACAUACGCGAUAUACUGUGUGUGUCUGAGCGAAAGCAUUAAGUAU